rnacentral:rRNA from 1 species
GACGAACGCUGGCGGCGUGCUUAACACAUGCAAGUCGAACGGAAAGGCCCUGCUUUUGUGGGGUGCUCGAGUGGCGAACGGGUGAGUAACACGUGAGUAACCUGCCCUUGACUUUGGGAUAACUUCAGGAAACUGGGGCUAAUACCGGAUAGGAGCUCCUGCUGCAUGGUGGGGGUUGGAAAGUUUCGGCGGUUGGGGAUGGACUCGCGGCUUAUCAGCUUGUUGGUGGGGUAGUGGCUUACCAAGGCUUUGACGGGUAGCCGGCCUGAGAGGGUGAACGGCCACAUUGGGACUGAGAGACGGCCCAGACUCCUACGGGAGGCAGCAGUGGGGAAUAUUGCACAAUGGGCGGGAGCCUGAUGCAGCAACGCCGCGUGCGGGAUGACGGCCUGCGGGUUGUAAACCGCUUUCGCCUGUGACGAAGCGUGAGUGACGGUAAUGGGUAAAGAAGCACCGGCUAACUACGUG